CACGUAGUUAGCCGGGGCUUUCUCCUUCGGUACCGUCAUGCGAGAGAGUUGUUCGCCCUCCCGCCAUUCUUCCCGAAGAACAGAGCUUUACAACCCGAAGGCCGUCCUCGCUCACGCGGCGUUGCUCCGUCAGGCUUGCGCCCAUUGCGGAAAAUUCCCUACUGCUGCCUCCCGUAGGAGUCUGGGCCGUGUCUCAGUCCCAGUGUGGCCGGUCACCCUCUCAGGUCGGCUACGCAUCGUCACCUUGGUGAGCCGUUACCUCACCAACUAGCUAAUGCCGCCGCGGGCCCAUCCCGCAAGUGGCAGCCGAGGCCGCCUUUCCACCCCGGAUCAUGCGAUCCGGGGUCCUAUCCGGUAUUACGCUUCCGGUUUCCCGAAGUUACUCCCGGUCUUGGCGGGUCAGGGUUCGCCCACGUGUUACUCACCCGUUCGCCGCUGUGUUUGAAGGCACGCCCCUCGAAACCCCGCCGACUU
rnacentral:rRNA from 1 species